rnacentral:rRNA from 1 species
UACGUAGGGACCAAGCGUUGUUCGGAUUUACUGGGCGUAAAGGGCGCGUAGGCGGUGCGGUAAGUCACUUGUGAAAUCUCUGAGCUUAACUCAGAACGGCCAAGUGAUACUGCAGUGCUAGAGUGUGGAAGGGGCAAUCGGAAUUCUUGGUGUAGCGGUGAAAUGCGUAGAUAUCAGGAGGAACACCUGAGGUGAAGGCGGGUUGCUGGGCCAACACUGACGCUGAGGCGCGAAAGCCAGGGGAGCGAACGGG